rnacentral:rRNA from 1 species
UUGGAGGGCAAGUCUGGUGCCAGCAGCCGCGGUAAUUCCAGCUCCAAUAGCGUAUAUUAAAGUUGUUGCAGUUAAAAAGCUCGUAGUUGAAUUUCGGGAUUGACGUGACGGUCGUGCCUUACGGGGUAUGAACUGUCGCCGUUGAUUUCUCACCUUCUGGAGAAGCUCGAUGUCCUUAAUUGGGUGUCUUGCGGAACCAGGACCUUUACCUUGAAAAAAUUAGAGUGUUUAAAGCAGGCAUUUUGCUCGAAUACAUUAGCAUGGAAUAAUAGAA